GGGGAUGUAACGGUUUCGACGGGGGUAUAGAGGCAGAAAUAGCGGGCGGAUGCGCCUGUCAUCCAUAAAACGGGCACCUUAUAAAUUAAAGAACGACGAUAACGCUGUUCUUCUCGCUGCUUAAGCAGUGAGCGUUCCACCCGGGAGGACCACGGCCCGGGAUGGGGCGUCGAUGAGUGGUGAACGUGAACACGCUAAGCUUUGCGCGUGUCACGCACAAUGAAGCUACCAAGCCCUGGAGCAUGACGGUGUGCGCCCGGGCGAGGGAAUGCAAAUCAUCGUCUGCGCCCGGAGAGGUUUCUGAUGAAGUACUUUCGGACACGGGUUCAACUCCCGUCAUCUCCACCA
rnacentral:tmRNA from 1 species